rnacentral:rRNA from 1 species
UCGCCCCUACGGGGCGCAGCAGUGGGGAAUAUUGCACAAUGGGGGAAACCCUGAUGCAGCGACGCCGCGUGAGUGAAGAAGUAUUUCGGUAUGUAAAGCUCUAUCAGCAGGGAAGAAAAUGACGGUACCUGACUAAGAAGCCCCGGCUAACUACGUGCCAGCAGCCGCGGUAAUACGUAGGGGGCAAGCGUUAUCCGGAUUUACUGGGUGUAAAGGGAGCGUAGGUGGCAUGGUAAGCCAGAAGUGAAAACCCGG